rnacentral:rRNA from 1 species
AUUCCAGCUCCAAUAGCGUAUAUUAAUGUUGUUGCAGUUAAAAAGCUCGUAGUUGGAUUUCUGGUGGGAGCGGCCGGUCCGCCGUAAGGUGUGUACUUGGUUGUCUCCUGUCAUCCUUGUGGGAACUGCUCUGGCAUUAAGUUGUCGGGGUUAGGGAACACAUCGUUUACUGUGAAAAAAUUAGAGUGUUUAAAGCAGGCUUAUGCCGUUGAAUACAUUAGCAUGGAAUAAUAAGAUAGGACUUUGGCGUCUAUUUUGUUGGUUUGCACACCAAAGUAAUGAUUAAUAGGGAUAGUUGGGGGUAUUCGUAUUUAAUUGUCAGAGGUGAAAUUCUUGGAUUUAUGAAAGACGAACUUCUGCGAAAGCAUUUACCAAAGAUGUUUUCAUCA